rnacentral:rRNA from 1 species
UACGUAGGGUGCGAGCGUUGUCCGGAAUUACUGGGCGUAAAGAGCUCGUAGGCGGUUUGUCGCGUUGUUCGUGAAAACCGGGGGCUUAACCCUCGGCGUGCGGGCGAUACGGGCAGACUGGAGUACUGCAGGGGAGACUGGAAUUCCUGGUGUAGCGGUGGAAUGCGCAGAUAUCGGGAGGAACACCGGUGGCGAAGGCGGCUAUCUGGACGAUGACUGACGCUGAGACGCGAAAGCGUGGGGAGCAAACAGG